rnacentral:rRNA from 1 species
CGUGUAGGCGGUUGGUCAAGCCUGAUGUGAAAGCCCGGGGCUCAGCUUCGGAAGGGCAUCGGAAACUAGCCAGCUGGAGCGCGAUAGAGGAGGGCGGAAUUCCUGGUGUAGCGGUGAAAUGCGUAGACAUCAGGAGGAACACCGGCGGCGAAGGCGGCCCUCUGGAUCGUUGCUGACGCUGAGACGCGAAAGCGUGGGGAGCAAACA